GGUCAAGGAUGGACUCGCGGCCUAUCAGGUAGUUGGUGAGGUAACGGCUCACCAAGCCUACGACGGGUAGCCGGCCUGAGAGGGUGACCGGCCACACUGGGACUGAGACACGGCCCAGACUCCUACGGGAGGCAGCAGUGGGGAAUAUUGCACAAUGGGCGCAAGCCUGAUGCAGCAACGCCGCGUGAGGGACGACGGCCUUCGGGUUGUAAACCUCUUUUAGUAGGGAAGAAGCGAAAGUGACGGUACCUGCAGAAAAAGCACCGGCUAACUACGUGCCAGCAGCCGCGGUAAUACGUAGGGUGCAAGCGUUGUCCGGAAUUAUUGGGCGUAAAGAGCUCGUAGGCGGUUUGUCGCGUCUGCUGUGAAAACCCGAGGCUCAACCUCGGGCCUGCAGUGGGUACGGGCAGACUAGAGUGCGGUAGGGGAGAAUGGAAUUCCUGGUGUAGCGGUGGAAUGCGCAGAUAUCAGGAGGAACACCGAUGGCGAAGGCAGUUCUCUGGGCCGUAACUGACGCUGAGGAGCGAAAGCGUGGGGAGCGAACAGGAUUAGAUACCCUGGUAGUCCACGCCGUAAACGUUGGGCGCUAGAUGUGGGGACCAUUCCACGGUUUCCGUGUCGCAGCUAACGC
rnacentral:rRNA from 1 species